AGAGACAGACGUGGCCUGACAAGAAAAAUCAGGUCCCGCCUUCAGGUGUUCAGGACUCAGUUGAGGGUGUGGGUCCCCGCGGUGGGGGCUGAAUAGCCCUGGGGUGUGGGGAGACAAAGGGAUCCAAGUCGUGCCUUUCCAGCUUUGGGAAUCGGUGCCUGGGCUGUCUGGUGAGGCAGAGAGAUGGGCCCUUGGGGUGUUUCCCCCCCUCCCCCGCCCCGGCCCCAGUGAGUGUGGUGUCCUGCUCCCGGGGUGUCCUGAACUAUUUUCCUUUUAAAAAUAGGGUCUAGGGAGGAUAAGGCAAAGUCUUGGGUAGUGAGAGAGAGGGAGAGAGCAUAUGCGUAUAUGUGUGUGCCUGUGUCCUGUUCAGUUCCUGGCACAUAUUAGGCACCAAAUUGGGUUACUGUUUUUUUUCUCAGCUUUCCUUGGCCAGCUUGGUUACCACGGUGGCUCGGUGACUGCUGUGGGAUUUAGUGCAGACAGAUCAUACUUUUUUGAAAAAAUUCUUGGCUGAGUCAUUUGUUACUAUGAUAGUUGUCAAGUGUUACUUUUCUAAUUCAUAACUUCCAGUUUUAUUAGUUGGCAUUUGACUGUAGGGUAGAGCUUUCCUCUCUCCUUUAUUUAUAUAUUUAUCCAUGUGUUUAUUUACGUCAGUAUGACUCACAGAUUCCUACUUUGCUCAAAGUGUUACCUUUUUUACAUCUGUUACUAUUAUUUGUAUUUUGAUGCUCAAAUUGUCACAGAAUUGGCCAGUGUUAGUCCCUUCAAGUUGGCUUCUAGGUCCAUUGACACCUCCCUAGAAUUUUUUGAUCAGGUACUUUGUUCUCAGAGCCCAACAGUCUCCCAGUCUGUAGAAAGGAAGUAAUGAUACCCACCCCAGAGAAUUGCUUUGAGGAUUUGAAGAGAAAAAGUCCAAAAAAUUACAACCUAUCCUGUGUGGCAUCUAGCGGGGCCUCAAAAUGUUAGUUUUCUGUUCCAACUUUACCUCCUUCACUCUGUCAAUGUGAUGCCUCAGACAUUAACAUAAUAGCAUGACCUUCAGGGUGACUACUGAGGAGUGUAACACAAGCAGGGAUAAGCACAUGUCCAUGACACAUGAGCUUCAGUAUCACAGCUGUGUGUGGAGGGGGAAGAGGCAAAGCGUCACUGCACAGUGUCCAGUGAACUGAGAGGGGACAGACAGAGCCUCCUCGCCCCUUCCCCUGUAUGUCAUGUGCUUUCCCUUCUUCUUACGUUCCUCUCUAUUCCAUGUGCUGUCUUAUCCCCUUCCCUUCUACUGAAGGAUCAGAGAAGGGUGUGGACUCUGAGCCCCAGGGGAAAGAGCCAAUAGAAAAGAACCAAGUAUGAUGUUGAGUCUACUAGACAGGUUCCUAGAGCAGGAGUGAGGAAAUUGGGCCCCAUCAUUGGGACACUUUAGGUAAGUCCCCACCCUUCCCGCCAUUGUCUUCUAUACAACAGGGUAACAGUACUCAGUGCUCCAGACCACCCAGGAAUAUUGUGGAGUUUUUGUGGUCCUGUGUGGAAAAACAAUUUGUGCUCCUAGGUGAGAAGGGAGGGCCAGUGCACUGGAGGUAGGACAGAAUGGACCUGUAAUGCCUGUGUGUUUGCAGGAGGUUAAUAUGAGGAUAAGGCAAGAUCCAGGAUGAGCCCUCGGCUUUUUGUUCAGCUACAUACAGAAAUGGUGGUGUGUUUCCCUAAGAUCAGUUGUUCUAACUGCCUUGAGACGUCUUCAUGAUAAUUAGUUAGGUAUCCAACAGUGGUUAUAGUGAAAGUUAGUGAUGUACAAAAUCUAUCCUUCAGUGAAUAGGAUUCAGUUGUUAGAUCAUUAAGUAAAGACACAUACAAACUCAAACUAUCAUAAUGAUAAAAAUCUCAACUUGUAUUUCUUUUAAAAAAAACCUAGAUUUAUUGAGUUGUUACUGUAUGUCUAGCACUGUUCUAAGAUUUUUCAUGUGUUAAUUAAUUCUCAAAGCAACAACCCAUGAGGUACAGAUGAUUGUUUUUUUGACCAUUUUACAGAAAAGUCAGUGAGAGACUUUUACUCUCCCAAGAUCACAGAGUACAGUAUAACAGCAUCUCUGCACUUGAAUUUUUAUUUUUUAUUUUUUUCCAAAGACAUUUCAAACAUCUUUUCUAUGAAACCUUUUUCUUUUUUUUUUUUUUUUUUUUUUUUGUCUUUUUGCUAUUUCUUUGGGCCGCUCCCACGGCAUAUGGAGUUUCCCAGGCUAGGGGUCGAAUCGGAGCUGUAGCCCCCGGCCUACACCAGAGCCACAGCAACUCGGGAUCCGAGCCGCGUCUGCUACACCACAGCUCACAGCAACGCCGGAUCGUUAACCCACUGAACAAAGGCAGGGACCGAACCCACAACCUCAUGGUUCCUAGUCGGAUUCGUUAACCACUGCGCCACGACGGGAACUCCUGCACUUGAAUUUUUAAAAUAAUGUGAUUCUUGAACAUGUAUCCUUGUAAAAAACCAAAACACAAAGCAAUAUUGUUUAAAUGUUUUUUUUCUUCUACAGUCAGUACCAUAUAAUCUUGGUUUUGCAGAUGAGACAAUUGAGUGACUAAAGGGUGAAGGAAGAGUAUUCAAACUCACACAGUUUGUAAGUGACAGAACUAGUGGUAGGACUUGGUCUCUAAAGCCCACAUUCUGAACCAGUAUACCUAGGAAGAAGAAAAAAGACAUUUUUUGAACUAUCUCAGCCCACAGUGGUUAACGUUAGGCUGGGUUCAUAUCUCUUUCUGUGGAAAUUAGACUUCAGGAGUCAUUCUAGUGUGCACUUGAGUUUUAAGAAAAACAGAAAGGGAACGAUUAUAAAAACAAAAUGCAUUGUAUGGAUAUUUCACAAUAUUUUUAUCUGUUGUGGAGAUUUCAGUUUUUUCCAGUUUUGUGACUGAAUAUUGAAUAAUGGAGCCAUGAACUUUCUUGGAUGGAUUUUUUUUUUUCAUUUCUUGGGCAUGUACCUAGGAGUGGCAUUUCUGAGUAGGUGUAUGUUCAGUUCAGUAGAUACUUCCAAUGAAUUUUUUAAAGUAGCUGUUCCAAUCUAUAUUCACCACCAGCAGAUUAUGAAAGUUCUAUUUGCUCUUUGUCCUUGCCAACACUUGGUAUUUUCCACCUUUUUCAUUCUUUUUUUUAAACUACUUUAUUUUUAUUUUUAUUUUUAUUUAUUUAUUUUUUGUCUUUUGUCUUUUUAGGGCCAUACCCACGGCAUAUGGAGGUUACCAGGCUAGGGGUCAAAUCGGAGCUAUAGCCGCUGGCCUACACCACAGCCACAGCAAUGGCAGAUCUGAGCCACGCCUGCAACUUACACCAUAGUUCAUGGCAAUGCCAGAUCCUUAACCCACUGAGCAAGGCCAGGGAUUGAACCUGCAACCUCAUGGUUCCUAGUUGCAUUCGUUUCCACUGUACCACAAUGGGAACUCUACCUUUUUCAUUCUUGUUCUUCUAGUCCAUGUGUGGUAGUAUCUCCUGUGAUUUUAAUUUUAAUAUAUCUGAAAUGUCUCUUUUUUAUCUAAAUAAUGCCUACUCUCUCUUUGUUUAACCUUCUAAUUUAUUUGCUUAAGAAACUAUAACUUUUUUCUUGUGGAGUUUGCUCUCUGUAUUUUGCUGAUUGUAUUACUAUUAUGUUAUUUAUUAUGUUCCACUGGCCCCCUCCUAUUUCCUUUAAAUUGGUAAGUAGAUUUAGAGGCUUGAUCAGAUUCAGGUUUUUUUGGCAAGAAUACCUCAAAUGUGGUGUUGUACUUCCUGUAGCCUUACACCUGGGGGCUCGUCUUGUCUGGUUGUCUCUCCUGUGUUUUUGAGAUUGAUUACUGGGUCUCAGGUGUUGUCAGACUGAUUCAUCCGUCUUCAGAUUUCCCAUCUGCUCUUCAUCACAUAUUUUUUGCAGCCUCUGAAGAUUGUUGCCUAGAUCUCAAUUUCAUUAAAGAUGCAGAAAGGUGAUGUUUUAAUUCUAUUCUUUCUUCUGCAUUUAUUAGCUGGAAUUCUUCUAUAAAGUAACUGUGAGGUUACAUUGAGGUAUGGUACACACAGGAAGGUAGGAAGAAUGUAUGUAUAAUUCUUUUGCAUUAUUUCCACUUUUCAGAAUAAUGAGUUCUUUCCCUGGGAUCCACCGAAGGUGAGCCAUGAGUUGUUUAAGCUGCCAUAAUGAGCUCCUAGAUGCUUAUAUAUUUGAUGUGGUUUAACCCAUUGUAGUCAUUAAUCUUUUUGAUGUUCAAAUUGUUCUCUUUGUCCAGUGGGAGCCUCUUCAGGUUGGCAUGAGCCUUUUUGAUGUGCUUUUUGCAAUGAGAGUUUGGUCUCAACUCAUGUGGUACAAUCCCUACCCAGACCUAGAAGGAAGACUGCCUGGUUCCUUGUAGUGGGGAAUGUUUUCAGAGGAUUCAAUCUGGGGACUAGAGCUGACCAUUGCUACUGGAUUGGUUAUUGUUUCUUGACCUUUUCAGUGCAAGGAUCCUGGAAAUAUUUAUUAUAUUUGUAGGAGAAUAUACAUCAUUGCCUUGCAUCAUGGGCUGCUCCUCUAUCUGCUUAGAGGUAAUUAUUUUCGUCCAUUUUGGUUUUAACUUUCCAUAUUUUAUUAUUAUUUUUUCCAUUUUAUUUUUUUAAUUUUUUUAAUUUUUAUAUUCCCCAAUACAAUUUUUUUCUACUGUACAGCAUGGUGACCCAGUUACACAUAUAUGUGUACAUUCUUUUUUCUCCCAUUAUCAUGCUCCAUCAUAAGUGACUAGACAUAGUUCUUAGUGCUACACAGCAG
rnacentral:lncRNA from 1 species